GCAUCGAAGAGACCAACCAGUGUCUCGAAUCCCACGGCCGCCUCCGGAAAUGCGAAUCGCGUCGGUCAUCCCGUCGUGUUUGUUUUGCUAGAGUUCGUGCUAGCCAAGAGUCCGACCACCUCUGCAUUUGCUUUGGUCUGACUCGCCGCAAUACUGUUUCACCGGAGUUUGACUCCAGACAGAAAACUGUGGCGUAUUGUUACGGAAGAUUUUAUGGCGCCUAUCAAGACUAUAGUUACUUCAAAUAAUUCUCAAACUUCACACGAUAUUUUCACUUACCAAAAACAAUUAGAGGAUUGAGAUAGGAAGAACCCUCAGAUUCUUAUAUGGUUUCAGAAUACUUUUAGUUAGGCUAUUCAGAUUUAGCUUCGCCGUAUUGACACUGCUCAAGAAGCUUAGGGUUAUUUAAAGUCGUGAUUUCAGGCUACCGGUCUCACACAUUACUAUCAGCUCCUCAGCUCCUUGAACGAAUUGGCACAUGAACCGGGACAGUCUAUGAAUGACUUCGUUUCUACCAUCUAACCUCUUUGAGCUCGCCUCGAUCAAGAGGCAAUUAAGCCAGAUCACCUUCAGCUCAUUCAACUUCUCAUAAAGCUCCGUCUAGAAUUUGAAUAUGUUCGUGCCUCAUUAUUUCAUUGUCAUCAUCUUCCUUCGUUGGAUGUUGCUAUGAAAGAGAUUAUAUUUGAGGAGACUCGCCUAAUACUCACUCGGCCAUCUAUAUUGGACUCUGCAUUGGCUGUCACAUCUCAGUCUUCUGGUCCUCCUUUCCGGGGUCCCAUUUCUCGUCAGACUCAGUCCAAUAAAUAUAGUCGAUGUAAGAAUGUUGAUCAUCCAUAUACUCAGUGCCCCAGAGUCGAGUAUCACUAAUGCCAUCUUCGAGGACAUGUCAUUCAUAAUUGUCCCCGCUGUAGUCGCUCUUCUUCUCAGGUUGGUAGUUCUUCUGCCAUAGCUACUGCUAUAAAUGUUCUGCAAUCUAUUGUGGCCUCGCCUCCUACUAUUCAGGACAUUCACAAGCUUCUUUCUUAGUUCUUUAUGCCAAAUAUGAUCAUCAUACAUCUUCAGGUUCAUGAUUUGGAGACGGGGUCAUCUUCUUGGGACGUGGUGCAAGACGGGUUGAUUAUGUACUUCCAUUCAACUGUCUUGUCUAUACACAUCCCAACAAAAUGGUCGUGCGGAGAGCAAACAUCAUCACAUCCUUGAUAUAGUCAGUGCGCUUUUCUUUUCCGCCUCAUGUCUUGAUCGCUUCUGAAGGAGAAACCACUCUUGCUUCUGUCUACAUCAUAAAUAGGUUACUUUUCUCUGCUCUUCACGGUGCCACUCACUUUGCCAAGCCAUUCGGUCAGUCCCCCGAUUACUCUAUUAUUUGUCCGUUUGGUUGUAUCUGUUUU